AUACGGAGGGUGCGAGCGUUGUUCGGAAUUACUGGGCGUAAAGGGCGCGCAGGCGGCUUGAUAAGUCAGAUGUGAAAGCCCACGGCUCAACCGUGGAAGUGCAUCUGAAACUGUCUGGCUUGAGUACUGGAGAGGAAAGUGGAAUUCCUGGUGUAGAGGUGAAAUUCGUAGAUAUCAGGAGGAACACCGGUGGCGAAGGCGACUUUCUGGACAGAUACUGACGCUGAGGCGCGAAAGCGUGGGGCGCAAACAGGAUUAGAUACCCUAGUAGUCC
rnacentral:rRNA from 1 species